UACAGAGGUGGCAAGCGUUGUUCGGAAUUACUGGGCGUAAAGGGCGCGUAGGCGGCCUUCUAAGUCAGACGUGAAAUCCCCAGGCUUAACUUGGGAACUGCGUCUGAUACUGGGAGGCUUGAGUGCGGGAGAGGGAUGUGGAAUUCCAGGUGUAGCGGUGAAAUGCGUAGAUAUCUGGAGGAACACCGGUGGCGAAGGCGGCAUCCUGGACCGACACUGACGCUGAGGCGCGAAAAGCUAGGGGAGCAAACGGGG
rnacentral:rRNA from 1 species